rnacentral:rRNA from 1 species
UGGGUACUGGGACAAGGACCCAGGCCCUACGGGGCGCAGCAGUCGCGAAAACUUUGCAAUAAGCGAAAGCUUGACAGGGCUAUCCCGAGUGCCAUCCGCUGAGGAAGGCUUUUACCCAGUCUAGUAAGCUGGGGGAAUAAGGAGAGGGCAAGUCUGGUGUCAGCCGCCGCGGUAAUACCAGCUCUCCGAGUGGUGUGGAUGUUUAUUGGGCCUAAAGCAUCCGUAGCUGGCUAAGUCAGUCCCUUGUUAAAUCCACCGAAUUAAUCGUUGGAUUGCGGGGGAUACUGCUUGGCUAGGGGACGAGAGAGGCAGACGGUAUUUUCGGGGUAGGGGUGAAAUCCUAUAAUCCCGGGAAGACCACCAGUGGCGAAGGCUGUCUGCUAGAACGC